GCUCGGUUUGUCUCAAUUUGGAGAAAUCGGGCAGAAAAAUUACUAAAUAAUUCAAGCUCCAGAGAUACUCUUGAAAUAAAGAAAGUAUAUGGGUUUCGAAUUUCAAGAUCAUUAUUGCAAGUCAAGCCAUUUUUCUAUUGUGUGCACGAGUGGUUUGUAUUCCUUUUGUCUGUUAAUGCUCUACCAAAUUUCAUUAUUUAAAUGCAUUAAGCAAUUUUAUUUUUUCCUUUUCUCAACUAGCGUACGCAGAAAGACAUGUUUGCUGCUUGCGGUGUCAACACAUGUAUUCACCUGCUACUAAUUGUUUGUAGGUUAAAACUGCGAAAAUACUGCAAGUGAAAUCAGUUUGUGGCUUCUGGGGCAGGUGCUGCUCUCUUAUACACCAGAUGAUGGGGCUUGUGCAGCAGUAGCAAGAACUAGUUGCGGGUUCCCGCUAGCCGCCCAUGGAACAAAGCCAUACUGUUCAAAUGUAAGCCUUAACUCUCAAUUAACGGGACAUAAUGAAACUUUGCAUAAAACUGCUAAUUGCAUUUCUUGAUUGAUGAACCGAGAUUCAGGGGUUAAUAGAUAAGAUGAGUUCACCUGGAGAAUGUUUCGAUUUGAUAAAUAAAUCAAUAAAUUAAAAUCAAUUUAAUAAUCAAAUCAAUAAAUUAGAAUUGAUUUAAUGAGGAAUUGAAAUUAGUUUAAAAAAGAGUAAAUAGAGAAAAUAAAUAAAAGUUAAUGAAUAAGGUGUUAAGUUUAUAAAGGUCAGGUAUAUUGAGGGAGAAAAAUGGUAAAUUGAGUGAGUGAGGAAUGUUUUAAAUUUAGGUUAAAUAUAUGUAUUGCGGUAAUUUGAUGAUUCAUCGAUUUUGGGCU
rnacentral:lncRNA from 1 species